rnacentral:rRNA from 1 species
UACAGAGGUCUCAAGCGUUGUUCGGAUUCAUUGGGCGUAAAGGGUGCGUAGGCGGCGCGGUAAGUCGGAUGUGAAAUCUCGGAGCUUAACUCCGAAACUGCAUUCGAUACUGCCGUGCUUGAGGACUGGAGAGGAGACUGGAAUUUACGGUGUAGCAGUGAAAUGCGUAGAGAUCGUAAGGAAGACCAGUGGCGAAGGCGGGUCUCUGGACAGUUCCUGACGCUGAGGCACGAAGGCCAGGGGAGCAAACGGG